rnacentral:misc_RNA from 1 species
GGGACAAUCACUACAAAUUACCGUAGGCAUUAUCGUCAACUCUUCUAAAUACUGUAGUACUGUACUUACCAUACUCACCCAAAUCCUACGGACAACAAUGCUCAGCCAAUACUCGUCCAAAUUCACUCCAUAAAAAUUGAAGGAAGAAUAAUGAUGGCAGUAACUGAUUCUUGGCUAUUGGGUGAGAGACAAAGGGGCUAGAGAUGGUGGGUGAGAGA